GACGAACGCUGGCGGCGUGCCUAAUACAUGCAAGUCGAACGCAGUGGGGACGGGUGAGUAACACGUGGGUAACCUCCCAUCAGAGGGGAUAACACUUGGAAACAGGUGCUAAACCGAUACUGAUGGAUGGACCCGGGGUGCAUUAGCUAGUUGGGGAGGUAACGGCUCACCAAGGCCACGAUGCAGAGCCGACCGUGGAGGGUGAUCGGCCACCCAGCGACUGAGACACGGCCCAUACUCCUACGGGAGGCAGCAGUAGGGAAGCUUCGGCAAUGGACGAAAGUCUGACCGAUCAACGCCGCGUGAGUGAAGAAGGUUUUCGGAUCGUGAAACUCUGUUGUUAGAGAAGCGGUAUCUAACCAGAAAGCCACGGCUAACUACGUGCCAGCAGCCGCGGUAAUAC
rnacentral:rRNA from 1 species